UAUUACACAAUCUUAAUGUAUUUAAAGAUAACUAUGAAAAGGUAUGGAAAGAAAUAAAAAAGAAUUUAGAGAUUUGGGGACAGGUGAAUUUGUCACUUUUGGAAAGAAUAUCGGUGAUUAAAAUGAACGUAGUGCCAAAAAUGUUAUUUCUGUUUCAGUCGGUCCUGGUGAUAAGCAACAUGAGGUGCUUCAAAGAAUGCCAGAAAGAUAUUAUGAGAUUUAUCUGGAAAGGGAAAAGACUGAGAAUAAAAUAUAAACUUCUUACAGAUCUUAAAGUUAGAGGAGGUUUCUUCCUACAAAAUCUAAAGAUAUAUUAUGAAGCAUCCUGUAUCUGUUGGAUUUGGGACUGGAUUAAAUUAGAAAACAUGUAUCUUUUCGAUUUAGAAGGACACGACAAUAUAUUUGGUUGGCAUGUGUAUUUAUGGUAUAAUAAAGCCAAAGUGCACAAAGGAUUCUAAAACCACAUGAUAAGAAGUGCAAUUUUUAAAGUAUGGGAGAGAUGUAAGGAUUUAUUAGAACAAAAGACACCAUGGUGGAUCCCAUAGACAGAAGUAAUAUCAGUAAAAAAAGGUUAACAUGAGGACUAAAUGGCCAACAUACAGAGAGCUGUUAACAGAAGUGGAAAAUCAAUUAAAAGUUGAAAGAUUUUGAGGAAAUCAGAGAGAAAGUAAUAGAUUGGUUACAAUACUUUCAACUAAAUAAAACUUUUAAAAAUGACAAAAAGAAAGGAUUUAGUUACAUCAUAUCAAGUUUUCAAAGAGAAAAGAGAACUAGAGGAAGAUAAUAUAAAAUUACUGUAAAAAAUGUAUAAUUUGCUGUUGGAAUGGGAAACUAAAGAUGAAGAGGUUAAGUGUCUAAUGAUAAAGUGGGCAAAGGAUCUGGAACAUAAUAUACAAAUGAAUGAUUGGGAAAAACUGUGGAAGGUGGAUCUCAGAUUUACUGCAUGUACCACACUUAAAGAGAAUUAUAUGAAAAUGGUGUAUCGAUGGUAUAUAACACUGGUAAAGCUUGCUAAAAUAUAUAAAACAAGUUCUAAUAAGUGUUGGAAAUGCAGAGAAAAAGAGAGUACAUUCUAUCAUAUGUGGUGGGAAUGUAAGGUUAUUAAAAGCUACUGGGAAAUGAUAUAUAAUGAAUUGAAGAUAAUGUUUAAACUAACUUUUUUUUUAAAAGAAGCUUUUUUAUUAGGUGUAACAGGAACAGAAAUUCCCAAAGAACAGAAUAAAUUAUUUAUGUAUGCCACAACAGCAGUCCGGAUGUUAGCCCAUAGAUGGAAAGAAGAACAGUUGCCAACAAUAGAAGAAUGGCAAAUAAAACUUAUGGAAUAUGCAGAAAUGGCAAAACUGAUGGCUAAACUCAGAGACUCUGACAAUAAGAAGUUUAAAAAAGAAUGGAAACAAAUUAUUGUUUAUGUGCAGAAAUAUUGUAAACAAGCUGGCACUUUGGCAGGUUUGGAUUAAGCACUUGUAAGCAGUAAGGAACCAGAAAAUGUUAAGGAGUAACAAUUGGAUAAAAAUGAUAAGAAAAUGCUGAGAAUGAUGUAAGAUGUAAAGAACUAAUAGAAGAGGGUGGAAGGAAGUAUUGAGGUUUAAAGAAUCUCAAAAGAAGGCUUCUAAAAUAGUAGGAUUCCUUAUUAGAAGUUCAAAUGUUAGAUUGUGGUUUGAUUUUUGUAUCCUUAUUUUAUUGUUUACUAUCUGUGAAAAUUUUAGAAAAAUUAUUUACACACACACACACACACACACACACACACACAGGAUUAUACAAUUCAGAAUUAGAGGGUGAGAGGAUCCCUCUGUCAUGGGAACAAUAAAUAAUUAUCUCAAUUCCAAAACCAGGAAAAGAUUUGAAGGACAGAGGGAAGCAUUCACCACCCUGCAGAGCCCAUCACCCAGCCCUUCCCAGCUUGCUUUUAUGAAGCUGGAUGGGCAAGGAUCAAGGAGACAGGUGGUCAGUUUCACUCGUCCAAGCAGCCUUUCCACAUCCUUGGAGGUAACAGAUUGGAAUUGAUCCCAUGCAACUUGACUAGACAGGACUCUAGCACUCUCCCGCCCCAGCCCUGCUCCCCUCCCAUGGUGGAGUCUGCCUCUUGCCAAAUCUGUGUGACUUUAUCUGCAAAAAAACUUUGCAGGAGAUCUUGGGGUCCUUACUAGGCCCUGAUGGCAAAGGUGGUUCCGUUAGAUUGCGAACCACCUGAAAGAGUAUCCUGCUGCUGUUUUCUGCAGAUGCAAUAGAGAUGGUGAAGAAGGUCCUCUUCGCUGUUUCUAUCACCACUUGGUAGGCUUGACGUUGAGCUCUAACCCAUGUGUGGUCAGAUUCAGAGUGAGCUUUCUGCCACCGGUGCUCUAGCCAUCUCAGCAAUUGUUUCAUCGCCCUCAGCUCUGGGGAAAGCCAUGGGGCUGUCUGGGCUCCAUGCAGUCGGAGAGGGCGCUUCAGAGCCAGGCCACAUUCCAGCAGGCCACCAAGGAAUCAGCUGAAAGGCCAUCAACAUGGGAUAAAACAUCCCCUACCACUAUCUGGUAACCAUUUGGAUCUAUUAAGUGGUGUGGCGGACCAUCCGAAUCGGUCCCACCUCCCUGCAAAGGGAAAGGGUUGCAGAGAAGUCCAGUUGCACCAGGAAGUGAUUCGACCAUGGCACUUCUUUUGUUUCACUUUUACUUAGUGUCAGAUCACUCAUAUCCAUAGAGAUGAACACCAGGUCUAAGACAUGUCGGUGACUAUGAGUUGGGCCAAACUUAUUCAAGGACAGCCCCAUGGAGGCCAUGCUUUCCAUGAAGUCCCAAGUGGCCCCUUGUAAAAUCCUAUUGGCAUGGAUGUUAAAAUCCCCUAGGACAACCAAACUAGGUGUCUCCAGGGGCACAUCCACCAUGACCUAAAGCAGCUCAGGCAGGGAAUCCUUGGUGCAGUGGGGAGGUCGGUACACCAAAAGGAAUCCUAUACUGCCCCUAUUGCCCAAUUUCCAGAACAUGCACUCAGAAAAGUGGGUCAUCCCAAUAGGAUGCCUGGUGCAAGCUAAUGACUUCCUAAAAACCACUGCAACCCCCCCUCCCCACCCAUAUGACCUGGGUUGCUGUGCAUAAGAGAAACCUGGUGGACAAGCAGCAGCAGGAACACGCCCAUCCACUUCAACCAACCAAGUCUCUGUUACACAUAACAGGUCAAGUCCUCCAUCCAUGAUCAAGUUGUGGAUGACAGCCGUCUUGUGAAUCAUUGACCUGGAAUUGCACAGCAGCACCUUACGGUCAUGUGGGUCUCCCUUGUUGAUUCCAGUAUCCUUCCAGUCAAGACCAGACCUGGAGGCAGGGUUAGUCUUCAAACAACGACUAAGCCUGCCUCCAUGGUAAUGACAUGGUCUGGUCUUAGCGUAACUCCUCCUCCUGCCUGUGAUCACUGAGAUCAGAUGUACCAGUGCAUCCCCUCCCCGCCGUGGAACCUGCCUCAGCCAUUCUGUUGGCUGGGGCCCACUCCCAGGCAGCCCUGACCCUCUCCUCUUAAGAACAGAACUAUACAAACUAUAUAAAACUAUACCAGUUAUAC
rnacentral:lncRNA from 1 species